rnacentral:rRNA from 1 species
GACGAACGCUGGCGGCGUGCUUAACACAUGCAAGUCGAACGGAAAGGCCCUGCUUUUGCGGGGCGCUCGAGUGGCGCACGGGUGAGUAACACGCGAGUAACCUGCACUUGACUUUGGGAUAACUUUUGGAAACUGGGGCUCAUACCGGGUAGGAGCUCCUGCUGCAUGGUGGGGGUUGGAAAGUUUCGGCGGUUGGGGAUCGACUCGCGGCUUAUCAGCUUGUUGGUGGGGUAGUGGCUUACCAAGGCUUUGACGGGUAGGCGGCCUGAGAGGGUGACCGGCGACAUUGGGACUGAGGUACGGCCCAGACGCCUACGGGAGGCAGCAGUGGGGAAUAUUGCACAAUGAGCGCGAGCCUGAUGCAGAAACGCCGCGUGCGUGAUGAAGGCCUUCGGGGUGUAAACCGCUUUCGCCGGUAACGAAGCGUGAGUGACGGUAAUUGGUAAAGAAGCACCGGCUAACUACGUG